rnacentral:tRNA from 1 species
UGGAGAUGCGGGGUAUCGAUCCCCGUACCUCUCGCAUGCUAAGCGAGCGCUCUCCCAUUUGAGCUACAUCCCC